rnacentral:rRNA from 1 species
UGGGGAAUAUUGGACAAUGGGCGAAAGCCUGAUCCAGCAAUGCCGCGUGAGUGAUGAAGGCCUUAGGGUUGUAAAGCUCUUUUACCCGGGAUGAUAAUGACAGUACCGGGAGAAUAAGCCCCGGCUAACUCCGUGCCAGCAGCCGCGGUAAUACGGAGGGGGCUAGCGUUGUUCGGAAUUACUGGGCGUAAAGCGCACGUAGGCGGCUUUGUAAGUUAGAGGUGAAAGCCCAGGGCUUAACCCUGGAAUUGCCUUUAAGACUGCAUCGCUAGAAUCGUGGAGAGGUGAGUGGAAUUCCGAGUGUAGAGGUGAAAUUCGUAGAUAUUCGGAAGAACACCAGUGGCGAAGGCGACUCACUGGACACGUAUUGACGCUGAGGUGCGAAAGCGUGGGGAGCAAACA